rnacentral:rRNA from 1 species
GACGAACGCUGGCGGCGUGCCUAAUACAUGCAAGUAGGACGCAGUUGCGAACGGGUGAGUAACGCGUAGGUAACUACCUAUUAGAAGGGGUUAACUAUUGGAAACGAUAGCUAAUACCGCAUACUAGUAUAUGUACUAUCGUUGUAUUAGCUAGUAGGUAGGGUAAUGGCCUACCUAGGCAACGAGACAUAGCCGACCUGAGAGGGGGAUGGGGCACACUGGGACUGAGACACGGCCCAGACUCCUACGGGAGGCAGCAGUAGGGAAUCUUCGGCAAUGGGUGGAAACCUGACCGAGCAAAGCCGCGUGAGUGAAGAAGGUUGGCGGAUCGUAAAGCUCUGUUGUUAAGGAAGCGGUAAUUAACCAGAAAGGGACGGCUAACUACGUGCCAGACGCCGCGGUAAUUC